rnacentral:rRNA from 1 species
UACGUAGGUGACAAGCGUUGUCCGGAUUUACUGGGCGUAAAGAGCGCGCAGGCGGUCGAUCAAGUCGAGUGUGAAAGCCCCCGGCUCAACUGGGGAGGGUCAUUCGAUACUGAUCGACUCGAAGGCAGGAGAGGGUAGUGGAAUUCCUGGUGUAGCGGUGAAAUGCGCAGAUAUCAGGAGGAACACCGGUGGCGAAGGCGGCUAUCUGGACAGAGUCUGACGCUGAGGCGCGAAAGCUAGGGGAGCAAACAGG